AUGAACUCUUGGCUCCAUACCCAAACGUUGGCUCUAACCGUUUGGCAUUUGGGCACAACACCAUGUUUAAUGCUUUUUACGCUUCCCUCCAGACAUUUGGGAUCUUUGCACACCUUAGGUCCUUCAGUUUUGCUCUUCCCUUUGACUUCUGCUUUCCUUAUUGCUUCAAGCUGGGACUUAAUGCUGGUGACGAUGGCCCUAAGAAAUCUACCCAUUUUUAUCUCCUCAUGUUCUGGAAGUCAUAGAGGCCAAGAAAUCUUGUGGAGCUGCCUGCAUGGUGAUGGUUUCUGUGGUCAUAGAGGCUGCUUGGAAGUGAUGUGGAUUGUUUUCACUUCUAUGAUCUCAGCUCAUUUUGCACUCCCUGGAGUCAGGAGGCAAGGCCCAGGCCAGCUGCUGCCUUACUCGGCCACUCAGGCUACCAGAUGUCAGGGGUCCCUUCCUGGCUUCAUACUCAGCAGCCUCUCCGUUUUCUCGUCCUUCUCUCCUUGGGCACUGCCUCCCUUCCCUCCAAUCCCUGCUCAUGGCACCACACAGUCCAACUCCAUAGUGGUGGAACCAGGAGAAGAGAAACAAGGAAAUCAAUUAACUGUAUCACCCCAAGAUGCUGGAGGAGACUCUAACUGAGCAGAAUGAAGACAGUUCCUCUGUAGCCAGCACCACAGCAAGAGCCGGGCUCUCCAAACACUCUGCAUGCAAAUAUUUUCAAAUUGCCCUGUUAAAGAAAAGAGGACACCAGGCAGCCAUUCAUCGCCCAGAUGUAUUAGAUCAGAGCAAUGAGAGUGGGAAAGGUCAGAUACUUCUUCUGUAGAGGAGAGAAGAUCCCUAUUCCUUAUAAAGGGCAGAAUGAAGAUUAUUCGGACAGGGAGACAGGUAGCAGCAGGCUGCUUCUGGAAAAUUAAUGGAGCACUGCAAGGUGCAUGUGGACAAAAUCCUGGCACUUGUGAGAGUGGGAUGGAAAAAGGAAGAAAGGCUUCAGAACGGCUGUUUUGUAAAAUGCAGGCUAGAGGUGCCCCCUGCAAGUACAUGGUUGUUUACUGGUCCUCGUGCCCCGUAUGUACAUUGUUGAGAAACAGCAAUCAAGAAAGUCCGACAAAAACAACAUUUUGAUGCCUGCCCCUCACUCGGCGUUGACAAUUUCAAGAUGGGCCCUGACGCCAGAAUGCCUGGACUUGUAAUUCUGGCUCCACUGCUCACUUGAGGAUGAUGUGACCUUGGGCAAGUCACUGGCACUUAUGUGUCUCCAUUUUCUUAUUUACAAAACGAGAGUAUUAUCAGCACGUACUUCAUGUGCUGCUUUUACUGUUAAAUUAGUUAAUAUGUGUUAAAUGCUUAGAAUGCUCCCCGGAACAAACCAGGUGCCAUCAUUUGUAGAGAAUGAUGAUGGUGAUGGUGUUGAUGAGGAGGAAGAUGAGGAGAAGCAGGAGGAGAAAGAGCAGCAGGUGGAGGAGGACUCACAGGCAUUAUCUUCCCUUCAAUCAUCUUUUCUUACCUACUUCUACUUCUGAAACCAUCUUUUCAGCCUUUAACCCCAAAUCUGAGAGUCACUGUUGACUUCCUAUUUUCUCUAAAGAUUUCCAGAGCUCCAUCCAUUAGUCGACACGUUCUGUUGAGUUGACCUUCUUAUGUUUAUCAUAUCUCUCACCUCACCUCAUCAUUGAGGCCUUCACCCUGAGUUUGCUUCUAACCCGAGAAAUUGCCAAUGACUUCUUGGUCUUACCGUCCUCCCCAGAUCCCUCCCCUCCAUUCUGUCUCUACAAUGUCAUUGACCCAAGUAAUGUCAAAACCUGUUCAAAAACCUUUUUGUGGCUGCCCGCUGCCUGGCAACAGUCUUUGAUCUAGAAUUUGGGACCUUGGGAAAUUCUGACCUGCAUUUCUAGACUUCUUAUCAUUUAGUUUAUAGAUAUGCACUAAAAGCUCCACUCAAGCUAGAUCCUAACGGUUACCUGAAACAUUCUCAGUUUCAGAUGAUGCUACUUUUAGCUCCAUGGUCCUGGGCAAUUAACCAGAGUUUCAGUUUCCUCUUUUGUAAAAUGGAGACAAUAAUAGACUGAAAGUGUGGUUGUGAAGAUUAGAGGCGAACACACACGUAAAGGAGGUAGCACAGUGCCUACCGUGGAGUGAGGCCUCCAUAGAUGCCAGACUGUUGGUGAUGAUGAGUGCUGUUGUUCGAGCGGUCCUUUUACACUUACCUUGCCUCUGUUUCCUUUUGACGAAACACUAGCUAUCCUCCAAAUUUUGCCUUUUCUCAAACCUGCCCAUUUUAUAGUGUUUUUUUCAUUCCAUCCAACCAGAUACCUUCUUUCCCUCCUCCAAACUCUCAUGCGCUCCCCUUUCUUUUGAACAAAGCUCUUUUCCUGCAGCCAUAAACGCUAUCUCAAGAGCCACAGAGCAAAUCCCCAAAUAGACAAUUAACCUCUUGAAGGUAAGGACCGACACUUUACUGCUUUACUUAUCUUUGUGUCCCCUGCAGGAUCCCCCAUGAUCAGAGGCAAGAUCCUCAAAAUGCCCCUUUAAUGGACAACUUAAGUGAAUCGGUAAAUUAAUUAGUAAGCUUAAUUGAUAAACCCAGUGUGCUGGAUUACUUGUCAUAACUCCCAGAAAUCCUGCCUUUUGAUUUGAUAGUCAUAGGUGUUAGCUAUUUCCUAAAGCCCCGAGCUUCUGUAGGGGGGGAAAGCCCAUCCUCAGGACAAUUUGUAAAAUUGUGGUAUCCAAAACUCUUUGGAAAAAGCUUCACACUUUAUAUUUCCCUGCCGAGAGAUAAAGAUCAAAGUAAUCAAGAGGAG
rnacentral:lncRNA from 1 species